CCUACGGGAGGCUGCAGUGAGGAAUAUUGGUCAAUGGACGCAAGCCUGAACCAGCCAAGUAGCGUGCAGGAUGACUGCCCUACGGGUUGUAAACUUCUUUUAUCAAGGAAUAAAGUGAGGCACGUGUGCCUUUUUUUAUGUGUUUUAUGAGUAAGAGUCUGCUAACUCCGUGCCCGCAGCCGCGGUAAUACGGAGGAUCCGCGAGUUAUCCGGGUUUUUUGGGUUUAAAGGGAGCGUAGAUGGGUUGUUAAGUCAGUUGUGAAAGUUUGCGGCUCAACCGUAAAAUUGCAAUUGAUACUGGCAGUCUUGAGUACAGUUGAGGUAGGCGGAAUUCGUGGUGUAGCGGUGAAAUGCUUAGAUAUCACGAAGAACUCCGAUUGCGAAGGCAGCUUACUAAACUGCCACUGACAUUGAGGCUCGAAAGUGUGGGUAUCAAACAGGAUUAGAUACCCUGGUAGUC
rnacentral:rRNA from 1 species